UUAUACCACGGCCUAAUAUUCUUACCAGUGGCUCUCAGCAUCAUUGGACCACCUCCCUAUCUCUCGGCCUCCAAGGAGAACACAGAGGUUUGCAAGGAGCAUUCGAAUCAUCGUGCUAUGCCAGCCGAGAAACAGAAAGAAAACAACAAACCUCACGAAGCCUGGACAGUUGCAGUGAACGAAAAACCAUAACCAACAAAAAUGACGUUCAGAUUUAGUGGCAUAUUCUG